AGCCCAUCGCCACCAUUGAAGGCAGCCUUUAUGUAUCCCUCAGGUAAACCCAAGUUCUCAUCCAUCACUGCCAUCACCUUUGCAGCUAGCUUCUUCAGCUCCGAUCUAUACUCUGCCAUGGUUUCCCUGCCACAAUAUUCGAAUGUUGGAGGGCCAUUCGUUGUUAUCAUGGAGAAGGAAGACAUCUUCCCAAUCAAGAUUUUCCAGCUUCUCGCCGCUCUUGCGUUCCAGCAAAUCAUUCAGGAGCUUCACAGGAGCUCUUCUGGAAUCCCAUGGUUCACCAGCUGAAAUUCAGAUUUACUGAUACCGAUGGUAAACUCGUGGUCGUGGCAUAAUUCUUGUUAAGCUGGCGAAGUGGAAUUACGCACCCCUCAACCGAGGUAGUCUCUAAUCCUUCUAAAUGUUUAUGAUAUCGUCAAAAUUUGAAUUUUCUUUUAGGUGGGUUUACUAUGCUAUCACGUUUAAUCAAUCAAUAGGAAGGGUGUAAUCAAGCGUUUUUAAAUAGUAAGGGACUAAUUUAAAACUUUU